rnacentral:rRNA from 1 species
CUUAUAUUAAUAUUUUUAUAUAAAAAUAUAAAAGAACUGUAAAGGAAAAAAAUCUAUACCUAUAUAAGCUUUAUGCCUUUUGUAUCAGGAAGAUUCAAUAUAUGAAUAUCACAGAUUAAAUCCGAAAUAACUAGAGCUAUAAUAUUUAAAUAAAUAAAUUUCAGUUUACUUAUCUAAAAUUUUUAUAGAAAAAAUAUUUUAACAUUAUUUUAUAUCUGAUUUAGAUGUAAGAAAUAAAAUUUCAAUAUAUAAACUAUUCCAUAUAUAUAUAAAUUGUUUAGGAAAUCUAAAUAUUUUAUACAGAAUUAAUAUAUUUAUUUUUAGGUUUAAGUUCCUUCUUAAAAAAUUUUUUGUUCUUUAUUAUAGUUGUUUAAAAUUUAUAAUUUAAAUAAUAAAUCUAUAAGUAUUUCAUAAAAUUAUUAAAUUGGUUUUUUUUAAAAAAAAAAUAAACAAAAUAAUAAACUAAGCAAACCUAAUCUUUGCCUGUUUAACAAAAACAUCUUCUGAAUUUAAUAUUUCAGGUAGAGCCUGCUCACUGAUUUAAAGAGCCGCAGUAUCCUAACUGUGCUAAGGUAGCAUAAUCAUUAGUUACUUAAUUUGUAACUAGAAUGAACGGCCUGACAAAAGAAUAACUUUAUUAUUUUUUUGGUUAAAUUAAUUUAAGAAUAAAAAAGUUCUUAUAAACUAGAAAGACGAUAAGACCCUAAAACCUUAUAUAUAAAUAUUUACUGGGGCGGUAAUUUAUUAUCCAUAAGUUAAAAUAACAUAGUGAAUGAUAUUAUCUAGUUAAUUAACUCAAAAAGGUACUUUAGGGAUAACAGCAUAAUUUUUAUUUAGAGUUCUUAUCGACAUAAAAGAUUAUGACCUCGAUGUUGAAUUGAUUUAACUAUUUUAGGCAGCCCUCAAAUUAGUAGGUCUGUUCGACCUUUAAAUGAUCACAUGAUUUGAGUUCAAACCGGCGUGAGCCAGGUUGGUUUCUAUCUUCUAUUUUUUGAUAACUUAGCUAGUACGUAAGGAUUUUUAAGUAUUAAUUUUUUUUAUAA